AUUGAACGCUGGCGGCAGGCCUAACACAUGCAAGUCGAGCGAGCGGCGGACGGGUGAGUAAUGUAUGGGGAGUGCCCGAGAGAGGGGGAUACCUACUGGAACCGGUAGCUACUACCGCAUACUAUCGGAUAACCCAUAUGGGAUUAGCUAGUAGGUGCGGUAAUGUAUCACCUAGGCAACGAUCCCUAGCUGGUCUGAGAGGAUGAUCGGCCACACGGGGACUGAGACACGGCCCAGACUCCUACGGAGGCAGCAGUGGGGAAUAUUGCACAAUGGGCGCAAGCCUGAUGCAGCCACGCCGCGGGUAUGAAGAAGGUCCUAGGGUUGUAAAGUACUGUCAGUCGGGAGGCGUUACCGACAGAAGAAGCACCGGCUAACUCCGUGCCAGCAGCCGCGGUAAUAC
rnacentral:rRNA from 1 species